AUGUCAGUGUGUGAUUUGGAGCAGAGAGUUCAGCAAUCAAAGGACACGAUUAGAUCAAUCCAAGGAAUUGCGAAUGCUCGAAGGGAACAUGCCCUCUUUUUCAGCAAAGAGUUCUUUUUCAAGAACACAGAAGACAGUUUGAAGUCAGCUCCACCUUUCAAGCACAAGGGAUCCUUAGUGGCACAGAGAUUCAGUUUAAACCUUCUCCAGAUAAAGAGGCUGGUGAUGGCGUCUAUGAAUUCCUGGGUGAUGUUUUCCAAAUGUCUGCUCAGGUGGAAAGGGUAGCAGCACACCUGGGAUCAGAAUAUUACCAGGUACAUCUUCUCCUCUUGUGUUUGCAAAUAAUGAAUCCAAUGAAUUGUAAGCUGCAAGAAGUUUAUUUUUAGUUGCAAACUCAUUUAAUAGCAUCAGUCUUCAAAUCCUGAGCCUCAUCUGUUCUCUCAGUUGUGCAGUUUACAGAGGCGUAGUCCUGUUAAUUUCUGAGGGCUUACUCAUGCUUUCACCCACUUCUGCACCCAUGAGCAGCAGAAUGAAGUUGUCCAUUUUACACAAAGCUAAUU
rnacentral:lncRNA from 1 species